rnacentral:sRNA from 1 species
ACUUGGCGCGCGGCGCGGGCUGCAGACGGCUGCGAGGCGCUGGGCACAGGAUCCAGCAAAACUGCCUAAUUUUCAUGACAGUUUGAAGAAAGGCCCAGAUCAAAUGCCUCCCGCUCUGUGAGGCCUGCCCAGUUUCUCAGCACCCAGAAGAAUCCUGUAUUUAAUUGGCUCAUAUGGAAAUUUUUAGAAAGAGAGAGACAGCAGGGCUGAGACUAUCUCCUGCUCAGGAACCAAAACGAGCUGGGAG